AUUGAACGCUGGCGGCAUGCCUUACACAUGCAAGUCGAACGUGAAAGCGGGGCAACCCGCAAGUAGAGUGGCGGACGGGUGAGUAAUACAUCGGAACGUGUCCAGUAAUGGGGGAUAACCUAGCGAAAGUUAGGCUAAUACCGCAUACGAUCUGCGGAUGAAAGCGGGGGAUGCGGCACUAAAGGCUUUUGGCGAAGGUGGCCAAAGGUGAGUCAAGAGCUUUUAGUGCUGCACCUCGCGUUAUUGGAGCGGCUGAUGUCUGAUUAGCUAGUUGGUGAGGUAAAGGCUUACCAAGGCGACGAUCAGUAGCUGGUCUGAGAGGACGGCCAGCCACACUGGGACUGA
rnacentral:rRNA from 1 species